GUAAAUGUGAAAGACUAGGUGUUCUUUCUGCAGCAUGCCUGUCCUAAAAGAAUGUGGUGUGCCAAACUGAUACCUCCAGUUAUCGGGCUUCCCUGAAUGCUGAAGUGUAACAGGAGAGAAGCACCCGAGGCAAGCAUAGAGUAGAAAACAAGCAGCUUUAUUUAAAGGAUAGAACAGACUUCUUCCCUGAGGAAGAAGGGGACCCAAAAACUAGAAUCCAUGGGAUGAGGAAGACCCAUCCCUUUUAUACAUGUAAAGUUUCUUUGUUCUUUUAUGUUCUUCUCCCUUGUUCACUUCCCUUCAUCCUGUAUAUGUGACUGGGAGAUGCAGGUAGGAAAGCCAAGAGAUGGGAAACAGGUGGGCUGAAGGAGCCAGGGAGAAGUGAUCUGGGCAGGAAGGGGGGCCCAGGUGAGUUAAUUAGCAGCUCCCUGUCUGCUCAGGGGUUGCUUUAUUAACAAUUCUUUAGGAAGGCAGUAUUGGGCAGGUAUUUGGGACACUAACAUUUCAAUCUCCCACAGCAGAGUCUUCAACCUUUUGGACCCAAACCGGUUUGCUGUUUUUCUCAACUUGGCCCGAUUUAUGUAUCUACACUGACUACCUGUUUUUAAUUCUGGCAUCAAAACUAUGAUGUCUCUCCACAAGCAGGUGAGUGAUUGAUUAUAUGUCGGAAAACUGGAUAUAUACUUUGAUUUUUAUUAUCGUAUUAUGAGAAUCAAAGAUUCUCCCCAUUAAAAUAAAUAAGUAGAAAUAGGGAUGGCAUGUAAUUAUAUACAAGCCACUAAUUUAAGCAUAUUUUAUGAAUACACUAGGAAGGCCAUAAUUGAUGCUAAUAUUAAUUUGAACUUGAUGACUAUUCUAGUGGUUUUGAAAGAUUUAAUGAUAUCAGCCCAGUUCUUAAGUACAAGAUUUUGUCCAACUUUAGCUAUAACCUGUAUGGGAAAAUACCAAAUAUGUGUUCUAAGAUUUUGUAUUCUUGAUAUCAGGGAAGAAAAGACAUCUUCCUUUAACCUCUCCCAUUCAUAUACUUUCCAAUCUUAGGUAUAUUUUGUAAAAGUUUUAUAUAUUGUCUCCCAAGGAGGAGAUGAGUAUACAGUUGCCA
rnacentral:lncRNA from 1 species